rnacentral:rRNA from 1 species
GACGAACGCUGGCGGCGUGCUUAACACAUGCAAGUCGAACGGAAAGGCCCUGCUUUUGUGGGGUGCUCGAGUGGCGAACGGGUGAGUAACACGUGAGUAACCUGCCCUUGACUUUGGGAUAACUUCAGGAAACUGGGGCUAAUACCGGAUAGGAGCUCCUGCUGCAUGGUGGGGGUUGGAAAGUUUCGGCGGUUGGGGAUGGACUCGCGGCUUAUCAGCUUGUUGGUGGGGUAGUGGCUUACCAAGGCUUUGACGGGUAGCCGGCCUGAGAGGGUGACCGGCCACAUUGGGAAUGAAAUAGGGCCCAAAAUCCUACGGGAGGCAGCAGUGGGGAAUAUUGCACAAUGGGCGGAAGACUGAUGCAGCAACGCCGCAUGCGGGAUGACGGCCUUAGGGUUGUAAACCGCUUUCGCCUGUGACGAAGCGUGAGUGACGGUAAUGGGUAAAGAAGCACCGGCUAACUACGUG